GAAACUAAAAUUCUCCUUCCUUUUUGUCAAUAUCUUAUAUUAGUUCAUUCCUCGUUUAGUUUUGUUUCUUAUUUUCAGCCAACUAAACGUGUAUUAUAUACUCAAUUUUAUAUUGAAUCAAAUCAAUGAAAAAUUACUUCAUUCAUAUGAAAUUUAAUAUGGUAUCAGAGCUUUAGGUUUCAAAAUCCAUACCCUACCUCUGCGGCUCUGCCAUGGCCGAACCUGUCAUGAAAGCCAACAAAUCCCUCAUAGAUGCCUCUUCCCCAUAUUACCCGCACACAUCUGACCAACCAAACCAACACCUCAUUGAUGCUCUUCUAAAUGGAGACAAUUACCCUGCCUGGCGUCGAUCAAUAACACGCGCCUUGAAUGCAAAAAAUAAACUAGGAUUUGUCCUUGGCACCAUCAAACGCCCAACCACGGACAUAGCUGCCGCACUCCUUUUGGACCGAUGUUGCGACAUGAUAAUGUCAUGGUUACUUCAUUCCAUUGAUCGAUCUCUCAUCGGAAGUCUCCUUUAUUGUGAAACACCCAAUGACCUAUGGGUUGAACUGAAGACCAGAUUUCAACAAAGCAACCAAACGAAAAUUUUUAGCCUCAUACGUGAUCUCGCCAGUCUUCGCCAAAAACACCAAUCAAUCACUAACUACUAUGGAAAACUGAAAGAGCUAUGAGAUGAAUUAGCCUCUUUACAACCAACUGUUUCAUGUACCUUCAGAGCAUCCAAAUCUUUAUCUAAAGCCCAAGAAACCAAUCGAGUUUAUCAAUUUCUCAUGGGUCUAAAUGACAGCUUUCAACAGCUUUGAUCACAAAUCUUAGCUAUGGACCCGUUACCUCCAAUUGGGCGGUGUUAUGCUAUUUUACAUCAGGAAGAGACACAGCGAAUGGUUCAAUUACCCUCUUCUAGACCGGAAAUUUCAGCACUUCUAGCUCACCCAUCGCAAAAGGGGACCUCCCGUGCAAUCCGAACUCGACCAACUGGACCUCCCCUAUGUGAAGAAUGUGGUAAACUAGGUCACACUCGUAACAAAUGUUUUGAACUCUUGGGAUAUCCUGAAUGGUGGCCCUCCAAGAAGAAACACAGCACAGGCCGAACACCUCCACCGACGAUACAUCAAGUCACGACAACUCAAAAUUCCUCCACCAAGAAUGUCACCCCAAGCCUCUCCACCGAGCAAUACAACCAAUUAUUGUAACUCUUAAA
rnacentral:lncRNA from 1 species